GCUCAUGGAGUCUACUGGUUAGGAUUCCUAGCUCUCACCCAGGCGGCCCGGGUUCGUUUCCCGUCAUGAAAA